rnacentral:rRNA from 1 species
CAGAGGUCCCAAGCGUUACUGAGAAUCACUGGGUUUAAAGGGUGCGUAGGUGGCACGUUAAGUCAGUUGUGAAAUCCCCGGGCUCAACCCGGGAACUGCUUCUGAUACUGGCGUGCUUGAGGCCAGUAGGGGUCACUAGAACUGACGGUGGAGCGGUGAAAUGCGUAGAUAUCGUCAGGAAUGCCGGUGGUGAAGACGGGUGACUGGGCUGGUUCUGACACUGAGGCACGAAAGCGUGGGGAGCGAACGGGAUUAGAUACCCCGGUAGUCCACGCCCUAAACGAUGCAGACUAGAUUGCAGCGGGUUACACCCCGUUGCGGUCGGAGCGAAAUUGUUAAGUCUGCCACCUGGGAAGUACGGUCGCAAGGCUA